rnacentral:rRNA from 1 species
GCACAAGCGGUGGAGCAUGUGGUUUAAUUCGAUGCAACGCGAAGAACCUUACCUGGCCUUGACAUCCAUGGGAUCCCGAAGAGAUUUGGGAGUGCCGCAAGGAACCAUGAGACAGGUGCUGCAUGGCUGUCGUCAGCUCGUGUCGUGAGAUGUUGGGUUAAGUCCCGCAACGAGCGCAACCCUUGUCCUUAGUUGCCAUCAUUCAGUUGGGAACUCUAAGGAGACCGCCGGUGACAAACCGGAGGAAGGUGGGGAUGACGUCAAGUCAUCAUGGCCUUUAUGGCCAGGGCUACACACGUGCUACAAUGGCAAGUACAGAGGGAAGCCAACCGGCGACGGGGAGCUAAUCCCAGAAAACUUGUCUUAGUCCGGAUUGGAGUCUGCAACUCGACUCCAUGAAGUUGGAAUCGCUAGUAAUCGCAGAUCAGCAUUGCUGCGGUGAAUACGUUCCCGGGC